CUGUGGGGAGUCACCAGCCUUUUGGACAGCUGCUCUGAGGACUUACUCGUGAUUUUAAGGAAAAUCAGGGUUUUUUUCCUGCCCUGACGACAAGGGUUCCUGCCCUCAGCUGUUAUAUCCCCAUCAGAUCUGUCUUCUUUUGGUUCACAGGAUACCUUGGAAUCAGCUGGGAUCAGCCAGCGCUGGAAAACUGCUGACAAGCUGGAGGUCAGAAGGGACUAGAGUGUAAGCAGAGGAGGUUUGUGUGUGGCCGCUCACCUCCCUUACAGUCCACGCUUAGUGACCUUGCAGCCAAGCUCUGGAAAAGCUGGGGAAGUGUCUGGUUAACUUGGGGUCUUCGAGUUUCUUGGAUCAUGGCUGUACCCUCCACGCCUGUGCCGGAAAACUGAAAUAUAGAAGCAGAUCCUGAUUGUCUGGACAAAUCUCGCCCUCUGAUCCAUUCUCAACACUCCUGACCCCACCCCAGGGAGGAUCAUCUUCUGAAAUUGCUUUUGUUGUAGAGAAGAAGCUGCACAGAACCUUCAUUCCCUGCCCACCCUGGCCGGCAGCCCCGGUCUGGAGAGUAGCAAACUCCAGAGACCCCUGGCAGACACAGGGCCCAGGGGGGCUUCUGCAGGCCUUGGCUAUAAUUCAAGAAACGUCAGGCUCUUGAGGUUCAGGCAGGAGCCAAACUGAGCCCCUCCACAGACAGGUGACUGCUCUGCCCGGCAGGCAGGGCGGCCACAUGGUGACCCGCCUGUCACUGGUUUUCACCCCCUCGGAGCCCUGACCCUGAGCAAGGGGGCAUGAAAGGCAGGGCCAGCAAGGCAUCCAGCCACCACGUGAGCCUGUCCGGACUUGAGGGCUUUGGCCUGAGGGUGUGACAAUGAGGGCUGUGGCUUUGAACCUUGUCUGCCUUUGGCUGUUAUGAUGAUUCUGGCAUCCCUUUGCUGUUGUGUCAAAUACGUGAUCGUAAACGCUGAGGGUGAGGAUAUUUUUAUUUGUUAUUAUUUUUUUUUAUUUUAUUUAUGUUUCUUUACUUAUCUUGAGAGC